rnacentral:miRNA from 1 species
UGAAAUGCGCCGAACUGCGAAAG